GCUUAACACAUGCAAGUCGAACGGUAAGGCCCUUCGGGGUACACGAGUGGCGAACGGGUGAGUAACACGUGAGUAACCUGCCCCAGUCUCUGGGAUAACCGCCGGAAACGGCGGCUAAUACUGGAUAUUCAGCGUCUGCCGCAUGGUGGGUGUUGGAAAGCUCCGGCGGAUUGGGAUGGGCUCGCGGCCUAUCAGCUUGUUGGUGAGGUAGUGGCUCACCAAGGCUUCGACGGGUAGCCGGCCUGAGAGGGCGACCGGCCACAUUGGGACUGAGAUACGGCCCAAACUCCUACGGGAGGCAGCAGUGGGGAAUAUUGCACAAUGGGCGGAAGCCUGAUGCAGCAACGCCGCGUGCGGGAUGACGGCCUUCGGGUUGUAAACCGCUUUCAACGCAGACGAAGCGAAAGUGACGGUAUGCGUAGAAGAAGCACCGGCCAACUACGUGCCAGCAGCCGCGGUGAUACGUAGGGUGCGAGCGUUGUCCGGAAUUAUUGGGCGUAAAGAGCUUGUAGGCGGUUUGUUGCGUCAGAAGUGAAAUCUCAGUGCUUAACACUGAGCGUGCUUCUGAUACGGGCAGACUAGAGGAAGUUAGGGGAGAACGGAAUUCCUGGUGGAGCGGUGGAAUGCGCAGAUAUCAGGAGGAACACCGGUGGCGAAGGCGGUUCUCUGGGACUUUCCUGACGCUGAGAAGCGAAAGCGUGGGGAGCAAACAGGCUUAGAUACCCUGGUAGCCCACGCCGUAAACGGUGGGUACUAGGUGUGGGUCACAUUCCACGUGAUCCGUGCCGCAGCUAACGCAUUAAGUACCCCGCCUGGGGAGUACGGCCGCAAGGCUAAAAC
rnacentral:rRNA from 1 species